UUGUCCGAAUCCUGCACAGGAUCGCAUGCAACAGCUUGUAAGAGUUUAAAUAUUAUAUUUUUGCUGAAUUGAAUGAGAGUGUAAAGAAGCGGAGAACGUCGUACGUCUCUCGAGGUGACGGUUUCGUGUUAAUAUAGGCAGGGGCAUAUCCCUGAUAAGCAUACAAGUUUGUUGAGAUUACAUCUUGAGGUACAAGGAAAGUAGAGAUAAGAUAGAGAUGAAAAGAUUACAAUCAUAUACUCUAACAACCCUAGACCGAGACUUAUCUCAACACAACCGGUGCGUGGUGCGCCCCUUGGAACCUAACCAUUAUGUUGUUUAACACCCUCCCAUAAUCACAACUUGGACAAGUUGAGAUUACACUUAGAUUCUUCAAAACUUCUAGUAGACAAGGCUUUAGUGAAGCCAUCUGCAACUUGAUCUUGAGAUCGAAUGAUCCGAAUGUCCAGCUUCUUUUCUGCAACUCUUUCUCUGACAAAAUGAAAGUCUAUUUCAAUAUGUUUUGUUCUUGCAUGAAAUAUUGGGUUAGCAGAAAGAUAGGUGGCACCCAGAUUGUCACACCAUAAGCAUGGGGCUUGUUUACAGUGUAUCCCAAGCUCUUUCAGCAAUGACUGAACCCAGAUAAUUUCUGCAGUAGCAUUUGCUAGUGCUUUAUAUUCUGCUUCUGUGCUGGAUCUAGACACAGUAGCUUGUUUCUUAGCACACCAUGAGAUUAAAUUUGGACCAUAGAACACUGCAAAACCGCCUGUUGAGCGCCUGUCAUCAAGGCAACCUGCCCAAUCAGAAUCAGAAAAAGCACUGACAAGUGUUGAUGGUGACUUGGUGAAGGUGAGUCCAACACUAAAAGUGUUCUUGACAUAUCUAAGUAUGCGUUUUGCAGCUGUCAAAUGUACUGUAGUGGAUGCAUGAAGGAACUGACAUACUUUGUUCACAGCAAAGGAAAUAUCAGGCCGAGUCAGAGUUAAAUAUUGCAGUGCACAAACCAUACUUCUAUACCUUGUGCUGUCCUCUUGAUUCAAGAGUUUUCCUUCUAUUAAGGAUAAUUUUUCGGAGCUGGACAGAGGUGUUGGGGCUGGCUUGCAACCUUGCAACCCUACUCUUGUUACAAGGUUAGUUCCAUACUUUUCUUGGGAUAAAUGAAGCUCAUCUCCAUUUCUUUUUACCUCAAUGCCAAGAAAGUAGUGCAAGUCUCCUAGAUCCUGAAGAGCAAACUGAGUUCAAAUCGCUUCAUCAGAUGAGCUUGUGACAAUAAUAUCAUCAACAUAUAUGAGUACAAAUAUAGAGAUAUUUGACUUGUUGAAAAUAAACAAUGAGGUGUCAGACCUAGAGGGGGCAAACCCAAGUUCUUGAAGCUUUGAACUGAACCGAGAAUACCAUGCUCUAGGAGCUUGCUUUAGUCCAUACAAAGCCUUGUCAAGCCUGCAUAUGUGGAGGGGUUUUUGUCUGUUUUCAAACCCAGGAGGUUGUUUCAUGAACACUUCCUCUUCCAGAACACCAUGAAGGAACGCGUUCUGUACAUCUAGCUGGCGUAGACUCCAUCCUCUGGAUACAGCAAUAGACAAAACAAGAUGAAUAGUAGCAGCCUUUACAACAGGCUAAACGCAUCCUCAUAGUCUAAGCCGUACCUUUGCUUGAAACCUUUUGCAACUAGUCUAGCCUUAUAACGGUCUAUGGUGCCAUCAGAUUUCUUUUUAAUUCUGAAGACCCAUUUACAAUCUAUCACAUUUUUACCUUUACCUUGACGUGCCGGAACUAAGUGCCAGGUUUUGUUUUCGUGAAGUGCCAUGUACUCAUCUUCCAUAGCCUUCUGCCACUUUGGAUCGCCUAAGGCUUCUACAACAGUCUGUGGUAUAUCUAGUUCAUGUGAGACACAAGCAAGUCCAAACUUUGCUAAAGAUUUGUAAUUUUUGGGUUGAGUUACUCCCCUCUGAAGCCUAGUGCGAGGUGGCGAAGAAGCAUCCGCAGAAGAUCCAGCGCCAGUAGCAGCCGCAGGCCUGCUGGGCGAGGACACGCAGGCCAGAUCUUCUGUGGCCGGCGCACGUGACGCAGAAGGGGAAAGCGCCGCAGAGGAUCCCGAUCCCGCAUCGGUGGCAUGCUCAUGAUUGGCCAAUGAUGGAGCUGUCGGGGUAAGAUCUGCGUCAGGAUCCGCAUGGGAGUCUGCGCCCUCAUCCCGUCGUGACGUGCGCUGCGUGUAGCAGCGAGUGUCGGCGCCGAACCGACCAGGCGCGGGCGGCUGGAGGUGACACCGCGUGGCGCUGGCGGGUGGGCGCGGAGCGGUCGUCUGGCGGUCCACCAAGCCGCUGUUGUCGCGAGGCAGCGCGGGGCUCGGGGCGGAUCGGCCUGACGCGGUCGGCGCUGAUCCCACGGGGGAUAGCGCUCCAGACUGGCACAAGAGGGAUCCCGAGGAGGAUGCGCCUGGAUCCCGAGGCAUAUCUGCUUCGGUGCUGCUGCUGUUUUGUCCAGGGAGCAUAAAAUGACGAUUUUGGCUUAUUUCUUCACCAUUUUCUGCACAGUUUUUUUCUGUUGCAUCACAAAACUCAAGGCCAUCAUUAGUAAGAGGAUUAGAUAGCAAUUGAUCAUCAGUGUUUAAAGCAUCCCCAUUGUCUCGACCGGUGAGGUGUGAGGGUAGAAGAAGAAUCUCCUUUUGGAGAAGGGCUCCGGCAUUUGGGUGAAGUUGUGCAAAAGGGAAAACAGUUUCAUCGAACACAACGUCACGGGAGAUAUAGACACGUCCGGUGGAUACAUCAAGGCACUUCACACCCUUGUGUUGUGGACUGUAACCCAAGAAGACACAUUGUUUUGAUCGGAACAUGAGUUUACGAUUGUUGUACGGCCGAAGAUUUCACGCACACCCAAACACUCGUAAUGAUAUGUAGUCUGGUUUUGGGUGAAGGAGACGUUCUACUGGAGAUUCAUUGUUGAUGACCCUACUAGGGAACAUGUUUAUGAGGUGGACUGCGGUGAGAAAAGCCUCAUCCCAAAAUUUCAAAGGCAUGGAGGCAGCAGCGAGCAAGGCCAAGCCGACCUCAACUAUAUGCCUGUGCUUGCGCUCGGCUGAUCCAUUUUGCUGGUGAGCAUGGGGUCAUGACACGUGGUGUGAUAUGCCAAUUUGUUGAAAGAAGGAGUUGAGGUUUCUGUACUCCCCUCCCCAAUCAGAUUGGAGAGCUAAGAUUUUGCAAUCAAACUUUCUUUCUACUAGUGCUUGAAAGUUGUGAAAAACUUGAAACACAUCAGAUUUCUUUUUGAUGAGAUAGAUCCAGGUGUACUUGCUAUAAUCAUCAAUGAAACUUAUGUAAUAGGUGUGUCUACCAACUAAAGUAGGGGUAGGACCCCAAACAUCGGAAAAAAUGAGCUCAAGAGGUUUAGUGGAA
rnacentral:rRNA from 1 species